UACUACGAGCGGCGGACGGCUGAGUAACACGUUGGAAUCUGCCCCGAACUCAGGAAUAACACACCGAAAGGUGUGCUAAUACCGGAUAGUCCCGCAAGGGUAAAGCUUUUGCGGUUCGGGAGGAUCCUGCGGCCUAUCAGUUAGUUGGUGAGGUAAUGGCUCACCAAGACGAUGACGGGUAGCUGGUCUGAGAGGAUGAUCAGCCAGACUGGGACUGAGACACGGCCCAG
rnacentral:rRNA from 1 species